rnacentral:rRNA from 1 species
GACGAACGCUGGCGGCGUGCUUAACACAUGCAAGUCGAACGAAGUGGCGAACGGGUGAGUAAUACGUGAGUAACCUGCCCUCCUUUUUGGGAUAAGCCUUGGAAACGGGGUCUAAUACCGAAUAAAGGGUGAUGGGCUCGCGGCCUAGCAGCUUGUUGGUGGGGUGAUGGCAUACCAAGGCGGCGACGGGUAGCCGGCCUGAGGGGGUGGACGGCCACAUUGGGACUGAGAGACGGCCCAGACUCCUACGGGAGGCAGCAGUGGGGAGUGUUGCACAAUGGGCGGAAGCCUGAUGUAGCGACGCCGCGUGGGGGAUGACGGCCUUCGGGUUGUAAACUCCUUCCACCAUCGACGCGGUAGAUGGAGAAGAAGCACCGGCUAACUACGUGCCAGCAGCCGCGGUAAUAC